rnacentral:rRNA from 1 species
GAUGAACGCUGGCGGCGUGCCUAAUACAUGCAAGUCGAGCGAAUGGAUUAAGAGCUUGCUCUUAUGAAGUUAGCGGCGGACGGGUGAGUAACACGUGGGUAACCUGCCCAUAAGACUGGGAUAACUCCGGGAAAACGGGGCUAAUACCCGAUAACAUUUUGAACCGCAUGGUUCGAAAUUGAAAGGCGGCUUCGGCUGUCACUUAUGGAUGGACUCGCGUCGCAUUAGCUAGUUGGUGAGGUAACGGCACACCAAGGCAACGAUGCGUAGCCGACCUGAGAGGGUGGACGGCCACAGUGGGACUGAGACACGGCCCAGACUCCUGCGGGAGGCAGCAGUAGGGAAUCUUCCGGAAUGGACGAAAGUCUGACGGAGCAACGCCGCGUGAGUGAUGGAGGCUUUCGGGUCGUAAAACUCUGUUGUUAGGGAAGAACAAGUGCUAGUUGAAUAAGCUGGCACCUUGACGGUACCUAACCAGAAAGCCACGGCUAACUACGUGCCAGCCGCCGCGGUAA